rnacentral:miRNA from 1 species
CAAAGUUGAUCGUGUUUAUGACGUCGAAUAUCGACGUCAUAAACACCAAAGUUGAUCGUGUUUAUGACGUCGAAUGUCGACGUCAUAAACACCAAAG